CAGGACGAACGCUGGCGGCGUGCUUAACACAUGCAAGUCGAACGGAGCACCCCUGAAGGAGUUUUCGGACAACGGAUGGGAAUGCUUAGUGGCGGACUGGUGAGUAACGCGUGAGGAACCUGCCUUCCAGAGGGGGACAACAGUUGGAAACGACUGCUAAUACCGCAUGAUGCGUUGGAGCCGCAUGACUCCGACGUCAAAGAUUUAUCGCUGGAAGAUGGCCUCGCGUCUGAUUAGCUGGUUGGUGAGGUAACGGCCCACCAAGGCAACGAUCAAUAGCCGGACUGAGAGGUUGGCCGGCCACAUUGGGACUGAGAUACGGCCCAGACUCCUACGGGAGGCAGCAGUGGGGAAUAUUGGGCAAUGGACGCAAGUCUGACCCAGCAACGCCGCGUGAAGGAAGAAGGCUUUCGGGUUGUAAACUUCUUUUAAGGGGGAAGAGCAGAAGACGGUACCCCUUGAAUAAGCCACGGCUAACUACGUGCCAGCAGCCGCGGUAAUACGUAGGUGGCAAGCGUUGUCCGGAUUUACUGGGUGUAAAGGGCGUGCAGCCGGAGAGACAAGUCAGAUGUGAAAUCCACGGGCUCAACCCGUGAACUGCAUUUGAAACUGUUUC
rnacentral:rRNA from 1 species